rnacentral:lncRNA from 1 species
CAACGCUCCAAAACUUGGCAUAGAUGAUGAAAGCCCCCACUUGAAGCUCUCCAAAAAUUGCCCAACCAAGAGAAAGUGGAAGAAAAAAUGGGCCAAGUCCGGUUUUUUAAAAGAUAACACUGCCCAGCGACCUCUCGCACCUGCGGUCACUUGACCACUUCUGCAGUCCCGCAGGUGUGGCCGAAAUACCGCUUCUGCGGUCCUCCUUCAGGCCCUUUAACUCCGCAUCUGCGGCCCCAUACGCACUUCUGCACCUUCGCUUCUGCGGCUCCACGUGCGCAGGUGCUGUCCAGCUUCUGCGUAUCUCGACUGCAUCUGCGGUCCCAGCUUUCCCCAUCCAGAAGCACGUCUGCAACCCUCUUGGCCGCUUCUGCGGCUCCGCACCUGCGGUCAAAACAUCGCAGGUGCGGUUACACCAGAAGACAGAUGUUUCAGCUUUCCUUUCAAGUCCAAACUCGAUCCGUUAACCAUCCGGAAUCCACACUCGGGACCUCAACCAAAUAUACCAACACGUCCCAAAACACAUUACGAACUUAGUCAAGCCCUCAAAUCAUGCCAAACAACAUCGAAACUACGAAUCACCCUCCAAUUCAAACCUAAUGAACUUUGAAACUUCAAACUUCUACAAUCGAUGUUGAAACAUAUCAAAUCAUAUCUGAUUGACCUCGAAUUUCGCACACAAGUCACAUUAGAUAUUACGGACCUACUACAACUUCCAAAAUUGGAAUACGACCUCGAUAUCAAAAAUUCCACUCCCAGUCAAACUUCCCAAAACCUUCGAAUUCCAACUUUUGCCAAAAGACCCCAAAAUGACCUACGGACCUCCGAAUCCACAUCCGGACGCGCUCCUAAGUCUGGGAUCACUAUGUGGAGCUAUUCCUAGACUCGGAAUUCCAAAAGGACAUCGAUAACAUUAAAAUACACUCCAACCCAAAUUUAUAAAAUCCUUCCAAAAUACCAACUUCCUGAAUAGGUACCGAAACGCUCUCGGGUCAUCCAAUACCCGAUUCGGAUAUACGCCCAAGUCCAAAAUUAUCAUACAAACUGUAACGACCCGACUUAUCGUUUUAAGAAUUAACUCCCCGUUUAGUAACUUAAGGUCUUGAGCAGCUUUGCAAUAUAUAUUAUGACCGGCGGGUGUGGUCGAGUUUGAUUUACUGAAGAUUCGGAAUUUAAGGAAAAGAACAAUCCUUAUUUAUAAGCUUAAAUGGAAAUAGUUGGCCGGAGAGUUGACUUUUGAUCAAACGACUUCGGAAUGGAAUUUUGAUAAUAUAAAUAGCUCUGUAUGGUGAUUAUGGACUUAGGAGCGUGUCCGAAAAAUUAUUUGGAGGCCUGUAAAGGAAUUUGGCCUGAAUAGCGAAAGAUGAAUUUUUAGGAAGUAUGACCGGAGGUUGACUUUUUAAUAUCGGGGUCGAAAUCCGAUUCUGAAAAUUUGAAUACCUCUGUUAUGUCAAUUAUAGAUUGUGUGCAAAAUUUGAAGUCAUUCCAGAUUGAUUUGAUGUGUUUCGGCACAAGAUAUAGAAUUUGAAAGUUUAAGUUCAUAGAUUUUGAUUUGGGGUGCGAUUCGUCGUUUUGAUGUUGUUUGAGGUGAUUUGAGAAUUCGAUUAAGUUUGUAUGAUAUUUUAGGACCUGUUGGUAUAUUUGGUUGAGGUCCCGAGGGGCUCGAGUGAGUUUUGGAUGGUUAACGGAUCAAAAAUUUGGACUUGAACAGCUGCUGAAAUUUUCAGAUAUCUGAUCUUCCUUUCCUUCUACGCGAUCGCGUGAAUGUGUCUGCGAUCGCGUAGGCUUAGUUGGGCAGUGAAAUUUUGUUCUCUGCGAUCGCGUGGGGAUAUUUGCUAUCGCGUAAGGUUAAUUGGGGGGCUGCUGAGUCUUGUUCUGCGCGAUCGCGUGAAGAGGGAUGCGAUCGCAUAGCUCUGGAAAGUUGUGACUCGCGAACGCGUAGCUAUGGUUGCGAUCGCAUAGAGUAACGGAGAAGAAGUGGUGGUCACGCGUUUGCUCUAUGCGAUCGCGUGAAGAGAGUUGCGAUUGCGUAGAGCUGGGAACUCUGUGCAUCACAAUCACGUGGCAUUGUUUGCGAUCGCGUAGAGGUAAUUUUGGCAGUGUUGAAAUUGUGCUUCGCGAUCGCGUGAGGAAGUCCGCGAUCGCGUAGAAGAAAUCACUGAGCAGUGAGUUUAAGUUCGUCCCAUUUUCUAUUUUUGACGGAUUGGAGCUCGGGAAGAGGCGAUUUUCGGGAGUUGUUCAAGGAAAACAACGAGAUAAGUGUUCUUAACUCAAUAUUGGUUAAAUUACCCAAAUACAUGGUUGUUUUUAACAUUUAAUCGAUGAAUUUAGUUGGAAAAAUUGUGAAAACCCUCUCGGUCUAAAUUUAAGAUUUGGAGGUCGAUUUGUUAUUGGAAUUCGAUAAAAUUGGUAUGGUUGAACUCGUACCGGAAUUGGUGUUCGGAUUUCAUGAAAAUUUUGUCGGGUUCCGAGAGGCGAGCCCCACGUUAACUUUUGAUGACUUUUUAGAAAAAAGUUUUAAGUCGAUAUUUUAUUAUCUGAAAUUAUUUCCGAUGAAUUUUAAUGAAGUUAUACAAUUGAAUUGGAUAGAUUUGAACUGUCCGGAGGUCAAUUCUAGCGAGAAGGCGAUUUUGGAAUAUCGGCAUAACUUCAAUAAGGUAAGUGUCUUGCCUAGCCUCGAGUGGAGGAAUUACCCCUUAGGCAUCGAGUCAUAUGUGUCAUAUUGUGUAAUUGAAAACCAUGUACGUGAGGUGAUGAGUACGUACUAGGUUUAUAUGUGCAAAUUAUAUCAGUUGAAAUUCGUAAAUGCCCUUAAGUAUUAAGUUGGAAAAUUAUUGUAACUUAUUAAAUCUCUUAUUUGUCAUGUCUCAUUCCUUGUUUGCCGAAAUUAUUUUUAUGUGAUAAUUUGGUGUGAUUGCCACUUGACUUUUAUGUGAACUCUGUGUUUGUUUGAGUUUCUAUUUUGAUGGAAACACUUUCAUUAUUGAUUUUACCUACAGAUAAUUUAAAUGGAAAAUUUAGUUAAUAAAAUGAAUUACUUUUCAGUUCACAUUGUUGAAACUUUGGUAUUGAAUUAUAAAGGCCAUGAAUCAUAUUGAGGCAAGGUGCCAAAUUGUGAAAUAUUAUUCGGUUGAGUUGUUCACUCCCAAACAUUUUGUUAAGAUGUUGUGCACAUUGUGAUCGAGUCGUGGCUCCUUAUUGUGAAAAAAUGAUAUGUUGUAAUAUUUGAGCACUUGAUGUGGAAUUUGUGAUAUGUUGAAAUAUUUGAGCACUUGAUGUGCAAAUUAUGAUAUGUUGUAAUAUUUGGGUACUUGAGGUGCAAGUUGUAUUAUGCUGUGAUAUUUGGGCACUUGAGGUGCGAUUUGGGAAAUAUUGAUACGCUUGCGGUGAGAUAAGGGUGGCUUGAAACGCAUGGCUAGUAGGGGAACUACUAGAAGUCAUGCGGUGAUAUAAUGUCAGGGUGUUGAAACGCAUGCGGUGAGAUAAGGGUGGCUUGAAACGCGUGACUAAUAGGGGAACUACUAAAAGUCAUGUAGUGUGAUAAGGGUGGCUAAAACGUGGGAUGCUAUUUCGGAAAAAAAAAAUUAAAAUUUAAUGUAAAGGCUUCCGCGGUGAUAUAAAGAAAUGAAAGAUUAUGAAUUUAUUUAUGAUUUGGGACUACGAGGCGGUACCUCGGGAUUGCCCUUUUGUUGAUAUUUCUCUAUGGCUGUACUUGCCUUUGGUUAUUUUAUUUUUCCGUAAUUUGUAAAUUCUUGUGUUCUCCGUGAUGUAUUAUUUCACUUAAUAUUAAGUGUUUUUGUAUUUCUUGAUGUAUUGUGUUGACCUUGACUUUUUUGUACGAGACUUUAAGGAUUUGUAUUUUUGGGUUGUACUUGUUUUGAUGAUUGAGUUUUAAGUGAAAGAAAAUUUUUAGUAUGUUUUAAUUUAAUAAAUUUUAUAUCCAAAUCAGUAUUUUAUCUGAUGUUUAUUUGAAUGGAAAUGUCAUUUUCUUCACUCAAACGAUUUCUAAAAUAAACUUAUAUUUUUGUUGAUUUCUUACUUGAUUUAAAGAUUUUUAGCAUACUUUAUUGAAAAUAAAUUGAUCCUGCAAAUCUUAUAUACAAUGAUGAUAAUAAUAUUGGCACGUGAACUAUCCGUGCAGUUGUGAUAUGAAAAGUAGGCACGAGGUGCCGGGGAAAUAUGAUGAUUUAUUUAUGGGCACGAAGUGCCGUGAAAAUAUGAAAAUGGGCUGAGACCCGUAUUUUUAUGAUUAUGAAAUAAGGUGUCAUAUGGUGACUUUUUAAUUGAAAGAAUUAUAAUCAAAAUAUUUAUUUGGAAGGAUUUUUAUUCAAAAAGAAUUUUAUGAAAGAAUUAUAUUUGAAGAGAUUUAGUGAAAGAAUUUUAUAUUCAAAAGAUGUUUAUUUGAGGAAAUUAUAAUUGAAAAAGAGUUUUAUUCGUAAGAAUUAUAUGCGAAAGAUAUUUAAUUGAAGAACUUGAUUUAAUUGGGUGUAAUUGUAUUUAUCAAUUGAUGAGCGAUAUUAAUGGUGAUUUUAUUGUCUUAUUGUGCAUACCACUGGUUGUUUUAUGUUGCUCUUAUUGUUAUUUGUUUCUUAUUAUUUCAUAUAUCAUAUUACACAGGUUAUUAGACUAAUGAAUGUCUUGACUGUACCUCGUCUGUACUCCAUUGAGGUUAGUCUUGAUACUUACUGGUACUGAUCGUGGUGUACUCAUACUACACUUCUGUACAUUUUUGUGCAGAGCCAGGUAUUGGAGAUAUCGGACUUGGGCAGAGUUUAAGCGGGAUCGUAAGAAUUCAAAGUAGAGCUGCUUGGUCGUCGCAAUCCCUUGGAGUCUUUUCAUUUCAUUGUACUGUUCAUUUUUAAUCAAACAGUAUUGUAUAUUCGGUCCUCGUGAUCAUCCCACCAUGUAUUCAGUUAGAGUUCGUGACUCAGUACUACCAGUCUUGGGAGGUUGUAUAUUCAUAUUUGUUCCGCUGUUAGUUUUGAUUACUUAUUUAAUUUUAAAAAAAUGGCUUCAAAACGUAAUUGAAAUCGGCUUACCUAGUCUUAGAGACUAGGUGUCAUCACAAUGCCUAGUCGGAGAAUCAGGUGGGGAGCCUUAACUAAGGAUAAAGCCCAAGAGUUGGAAGGGCGGUUGUCGGCUAUAGGAGCUUCGAGGAGCAGCGGUGACGCGAGCACUAUGUGGUCAGCGACAACAGACUGUAUUAGGGAGGUUGCGAGAGAGGUGUUAGGAGUCUCAAUGAGCGUCUCUAGUGGGGCACAAAAGAGACUGGUGGUGGAAUGAAGUGGUUCAAGGUAAAGUGGAAGCUAAGAAGGUGACGUACCUGAAGUUAGUGGAGAGCAUAGAUGAGGAGGAGAGGCGAGCAUGCAUGGAGAGGUAUAAGACAGCUAGGAAGGAGGCUAAGCUGGCGGUCACAGAGUAGCUAGUGACAAUGUUGUGUUUUACUGCUUCGCUUUUCAGUGCAUGUCCUAUUUACUAGCUAUCGUUUUUGCUUUGCAUCUUUCUUCUGCAUUUCAUGGUGUUACUAUUUUUUCUAUGAUUGUUGUGGUGAUACUAAUGUUGUCUUCUCUUGUCGUUUUGUCUUUUUGUUUUCUUGAGUCGAGGGUCUUUCGGAAACAGCCUCUCUACUCCUUUGGGGUAGGGGUAAGGUCUACGUACACACUACCCUCCCAGACCCCAUUAGUGGGAUUCUACUGGGUUGUUGUUGUUGUUGUUGUACACGAACCUGUUGGAACUUUCAAAUUCCGAUUCCGAGGUCGUUUACUCAAAAGUUAAACCUUAGUCAAUUCUUCCAACUUAAAACCUCCGAAAUUAAAAUUUUCUCUCCAAAUCAACUCCGAAUUUUCCGAAUUUCAAUUCCGACAACACGUACAAGUCAUAAUAUACGAAGUGAAACUACUCAUGGCCUCAAACCGCCGAAUGACGCGAUAGAGCUCAAAACGACCGGUCGGGUCCUUACAAAAACAUGAACACAAAUAUAGAUACAAUCAAAUCAAUCACUUUUAAGAACUAACGAGAGAAGCAACUUAAGUAAUCCAAAAAUUCUUUAAAAGGUAAAGAUAUCAAGAGCAUAUUGUACCUUGACACACUUCAGUCAUAUUAUUACAUCUGCCAUGUUUACUACUACAAUACUUAUGAAGUAUAUGAUAAUGUUGAUAUCGAUGCAUAUAUUGAGACUAAUGCGUUGUUUACAGCUAGGGGUCAUAUCACAUUGAUAUAAAUAUCUAAGGACCAGAGAUCUCUCCUGCACAUACUGAGAUUAGUACACUUUGCAUUAGUUACAUAUUAAACUUUUCUCUCUGUACAGUUAACAUUCUAAAGCAUGUUUAAUUUCUCAACAUAUUUUUUGUUCGAGUAUCAGGCAACUAUAAUCUACUUUGGAGAUUGUAUAUGUAUUAUAACUGAUAUAUUUAAAGAAAUACAAGAUCUGUAGCCUCUGCAACUGGUAUUCUUGUUAUGACAACUUUAAGACUCCACCAUAAGGAACAAAGUGAUCAAAAAUUUUAUCUUUUGUUCAUAUGGUUCGAGAAUUUCAAUUACAACCAGAUUGUAAUAUAAGAACUACAUUAUAUGUUUUCAAAGAAGUGCUAAUGUUAACUGUUGAAAAGUUGGGAUCGGGUGCUAAAGAUGUUCUAUUUCUUUUCAACAUAUUCUUUAAUAGUAUCCCACAUAUCAUCCUAGUAAAUCAAAUUACAGUUCAUCCUUCUCUCAAAUGAUUAUUAUUUCUCUACUCAAGUUAAAACUAAAUCAUACGUUCAAGAAUCAAGACUAUAUUGCAAUAUAGCCAAUUACCCAAACUUUUCAACCCGUCAUAUAUGUCCUUGUGACCACACAAGAAACUAUCUACGGAACAAAAGCCACAAAACAAAGGACCACGCUUGUUACCAAUUAAAAACAAAAAACAAAAACAAAAUUAGAUUGAUCUAAGAAGAGAAAUCAAGAAGUUACCUUUUAAAGUAUCUACAGAUCGGAAAAGAACAAUAAAUAUAAUAUGUAAUUAACAGAAAAGAAAAUAAAUUAGAAUCACAUUUAAUUAAAUCCAAAUUUAAAGGGGGAAAAACGAAAAAUACAUAAACUGACAAUAAUUCGUAAAAAUGAAUGAUCCACUUUUACCUUGAAUUUGGCUCCAAAUGCCUGAUAAUCGAAUUUCUUUUAGGUAAAAUAUGUGUAACUGGAGUCUCAAGACCCUAAGAAGGAUCAACGAAUUCUCUUCUUUACAGAGAAAGAAAUCACAUCCGUCAUAAAAAUCUUUCAAACACAACGGCACACAGAAUAGUCCCCAACUUCUUCCAAAAUUUCAUGGUAUUGUCACACCUUUCAACUCUAAGUCCUUUAACAGCCAUGGGUGAGAGCUGAACGACGAUUAGAUCUAGCAGUAGUGAGGGUUUGGAAGAGCAGAAGAAGGGAUUUAGGAAUGAUUUUUGCAUCGGCUAGGGUUUUGGGAAAAAGGGGAAGGGAUUUGGGGAAACAAGGGAAAUAAAGAAAACACUGGCAGCGUAUUCUCUUCUUAAGUUUAAGCGAUAUAAUCCAAAAAGAAAAGAAAAAUAUUAGUAAUAUAACUAGUAGCGACUUUGUCGCUACAAAUACGAUUUUGUGGCAAGUAUUUAACGGUCGCUACAAAUUAUUCUUCAGCAAAGUUUCAAAAUAAAAACUUAGUAACUACUAGAGGCGACCUCGUUAAAGUCGC